rnacentral:rRNA from 1 species
UCUUUUUAUUGUGUGCCAGCCGCCGCGGUAAUACGUAGGGAGCGAGCGUUGUCCGGAUUUACUGGGUGUAAAGGGUGCGUAGGCGGCGAGGCAAGUCAGGCGUGAAAUCUAUGGGCUUAACCCAUAAACUGCGCUUGAAACUGUCUUGCUUGAGUGAAGUAGAGGUAGGCGGAAUUCCCGGUGUAGCGGUGAAAUGCGUAGAGAUCGGGAGGAACACCAGUGGCGAAGGCGGCCUACUGGGCUUUAACUGACGCUGAAGCACGAAAGCAUGGGUAGCAAACAGG